rnacentral:rRNA from 1 species
AGAACGAACGCUGGCGGCAUGCCUAACACAUGCAAGUCGAACGAGACCUUCGGGUCUAGUGGCGCACGGGUGCGUAACGCGUGGGAAUCUGCCCUUAGGUACGGAAUAACAGUGAGAAAUUACUGCUAAUACCGUAUGAUGUCUUCGGACCAAAGAUUUAUCGCCUAGGGAUGAGCCCGCGUUGGAUUAGCUAGUUGGUGGGGUAAAGGCCUACCAAGGCGACGAUCCAUAGCUGGUCUGAGAGGAUGAUCAGCCACACUGGGACUGAGACACGGCCCAGACUCCUACGGGAGGCAGCAGUGGGGAAUAUUGGACAAUGGGUGAAAGGCCUGAUCCAGCAAUGCCGCGUGAGUGAAGAAGGCCUUCGGGUUGUAAAGCUCUUUUACCCGGGAAGAUAAUGACUGUACCGGGAGAAUAAGCCCGGCUAACUCCGUGCCAGCAGCCGC